rnacentral:rRNA from 1 species
GACGAACGCUGGCGGCGUGCCUAAUACAUGCCAGUCGAACGCAUUUUCUUUCACCGUAGCUUGCUACACCGAAAGAAAAUGAGUGGCGAACGGGUGAGUAACACGUGGGCAACCUGCCCAUCAGCGGGGGAUAACACUUGGAAACAGGUGCUAAUACCGCAUAAUUCCAUUUACCGCAUGGUAGAGGGAUGAAAGGCGCUUUUGCGUCACUGAUGGAUGGACCCGCGGUGCAUUAGCUAGUUGGUGGGGUAACGGCCUACCAAGGCUGCGAUGCAUAGCCGACCUGAGAGGGUGGUCGGCCACACUGGGACUGAGACACGGCCCAGACUCCUACGGGAGGCAGCAGUAGGGAAUCUUCGGCAAUGGACGCAAGUCUGACCGAGCAACGCCGCGUGAGUGAAGAAGGUUUUCGGAUCGUAAAACUCUGUUGUCAGAGAAGAACAAGGAUGAGAGUGGAAAGUUCAUCCCUUGACGGUAUCUAACCAGAAAGCCACGGCUAACUACGUG